rnacentral:rRNA from 1 species
AACGAACGCUGGCGGCAUGCCUAACACAUGCAAGUCGAACGACGGCAUCGGCCUCAGUGGCGUACGCGUGCGUAACGGGUGGGAAACUGCCCUUUGGCUCGGAAUAACCAGGAGAAAUGCGCGCCAAUACCGGCUCAUGUCUAAAGACCCAGGAUUUAUCGCCCUAGGAUGGGCGCGCGGAGGAUUAGCUAGCUGGUGAGGUAUAGGCGCACCAAGGGGACGUGCCUUCGCUGGUCUGUGAGGAUGUUCAGCCGCACUGGGGCUGAGACACGGCCCAGACUCCUACGGGAGGCAGCAGUGGGGAAUAUUGGACAAUGGGCGAAAGCCUGAUCCAGCAAUGCCGCGUGAGUGAUGAAGGACUUAGGGUUGUAAAACUCUUCUACCCGGGAUGAUAAUGACAGUACCGUGAGAAUAAGCCCCGGCUAACUCCGUGCCAGCCGCCGCCGUAA